rnacentral:lncRNA from 1 species
CGCGCACUGCCCGCUGGGCAUUGGAGUCUCUCCUCCGCCCUCCACUUGUCGGCCGUUCUUCGUCCAGAGAUGAACAUGCCGGAAGCGGCCGUUCCCAGCUUUUCUCCGCAGGCCUCUCCAACCGAGCUUCUAUUGUAAAGCACCCUAUGCCGCGCAAAGCGUCAUGGGAGCUGUAGUUCCGCCGCGCCCCCGCCGCGUCCCCGGCUCUGAGUGGAGGAGUGGAAAGGGAGCGUGCGCGAAGUCACGCUUCUGGCUGCGACGCAACCGCCGCUGGGCGGUGAGUUGCCGCCAACCGCCCUAACGGCCGAAACAAUGUUAAUGGCUUUCAGAGUCUGGCGGCGCGUUCCCAUUAUCAUCUUCCUGUGACCCUUCCUCAUUUUACACGGAGGAGGUGGUCUCCACAGUGAUUUUAAAUUUAAUAUUUCUCUCAUAACCUUUGUGAGAUAAAAGAAUCUUCAUCCUUUUAACUUUGACGAGGGAUGAAAUGAAGUUUUCCACAACAUUUGGGAAGAUUUACAAGGUAUACUCCAUUUAGGCAAAAAUAACUGUCAGGGAAUAGUCAUUGUCAAGAGCAGUUUGUAUUGCAACCCACAAAUUAUACCUCUAUGUCGGUCCAGAAAUCCUUCAAUUUACCAAGAGAUUAUGUUUGAAAAUCUUAGAAAAAAUAAACAAUCCUGAAAAACUAAGUAGGCAGAGCCCAUAUCUGUUCUGUUCACCAUCAUAUACCAAGUGCCUUACAGAAUGCCUGGAACAUAGUAGACACUCAACAAAUAUUCAUUGAAUGAAUGAAUGAAUGACACUAGGCUUAGAUACUAGCUUAAAAUAACAGAAGAAGAAUCCUAAUUUCAUUAAAAGUAGGACCAGCUUUACAGACCAGUGGGAGAUCCAGGCUACAGGGAGAACACAUGGAAUUCCAGAAUCAUGAACCAUCUGGAAGGGGCUGAGGACACAUAUGAAGUACAGUCUAAAGCUUCAGGAUCAAUUUUGGGAGCCAGAUGUUCUUCAUUUAACGGCAAAAGACCAGAGGAUCAAGGUUUCUGACUAGUCCUGCUUCCCCCUACUCCCAUGUGAACUUUGAAUUCAGUUUAUCUAGUUCCAGAAAUAAACAAGUUGGUAGUU